GCCCCUGUAGCUCAAUUGGAUAGAGCGUCGGACUUCGAAUCCGCAGGUUACAGGUUCAAAUCCUGUCGGGGGUACCA
rnacentral:tRNA from 1 species